rnacentral:rRNA from 1 species
UACGUAUGGUGCAAGCGUUAUCCGGAUUUACUGGGCGUAAAGGAGCGCAGGCGGCGCGCCAAGUCUGAUGUGAAACCCCGGGGCUCAACCCCGGGCAUGCAUUGGAAACUGGCGGGCUGGAGUGCCGGAGAGGUAAGCGGAAUUCCUAGUGUAGCGGUGAAAUGCGUAGAUAUUAGGAGGAACACCAGUGGCGAAGGCGGCUUACUGGACGGCAACUGACGCUGAGGCUCGAAAGCGUGGGGAGCAAACAGG